rnacentral:rRNA from 1 species
AGUCGAACGGCAGCACGGGAGCAAUCCUGGUGGCGAGUGGCGAACGGGUGAGUAAUAUAUCGGAACGUGCCCAGUCGUGGGGGAUAACGCAGCGAAAGCUGUGCUAAUACCGCAUACGAUCUCUGGAUGAAAGCGGGGGACCUUCGGGCCUCGCGCGAUUGGAGCGGCCGAUAUCAGAUUAGCUAGUUGGUGGGGUAAAAGCUCACCAAGGCGACGAUCUGUAGCUGGUCUGAGAGGACGACCAGCCACACUGGAACUGAGACACGGUCCAGACUCCUACGGGAGGCAGCAGUGGGGAAUUUUGGACAAUGGGCGCAAGCCUGAUCCAGCAAUGCCGCGUGCAGGAUGAAGGCCUUCGGGUUGUAAACUGCUUUUGUACGGAACGAAACGGCUCUUUCUAAUAAAGAGGGCUAAUGACGGUACCGUAAGAAUAAGCACCGGCUAACUACGUGCCAGCAGCCGCGGUAAU